AUACGGAGGGUGCGAGCGUUGUUCGGAAUUAUUGGGCGUAAAGAGCAUGUAAGCGGUCUGUUAAGUCUGGUGUGAAAGCCCGGGGCUCAACCCCGGAAGUGCAUUGGAUACUGGCAGACUUGAGUAUGGGAGAGGAAAGCGGAAUUCCGAGUGUAGGAGUGAAAUCCGUAGAUAUUCGGAGGAACACCAGUGGCGAAGGCGGCUUUCUGGACCAAUACUGACGCUGAGAUGCGAAAGCGUGGGGAGCAAACAGGAUUAGAAACCCUAGUAGUCC
rnacentral:rRNA from 1 species